GGGAGACGUGGAGCCCAGGAGAAUAAUCUGAUCCUGUUUGGACUCUGAAGGCUGAAGAAGUACAAAAAAAGUCCAUCACAUGCUGCCCAGUCGGGAAAUUUUGUCACCUUCAUUACAGUUUAAAAAUAUUUUGAAAAUAUUUUACUCCUGGAUUGUUUGAAGGGUGGGUUCAGCGAAGAAGCUUCUUCAGUUUUUCUAACUGAUGGGGUUUUGAGCGCUAUAAGGAUACUACAUGAUCAAGUCCGAAUGCCGUGAGAGUCCAUUAUGGCCGACUGCAGAGGACCUGAGGUUAAGUGGUGCCAGAAGAGAGAGGAAAGAGGGAGGCCGACAUGCUGACAGCUGGUACGAGUGAUUAGACCGUGCAGUGAUGCAGGGAAGGCAUCAAAGCUCUUUAGGGAGAAUCCCUUAGUGGGAGGACACAAUGAUACACACACACACACACACACACACACACACACACACACACACACACACACACACACACACACACACACACACACACACACACACACAGAGGAAUGAAAUCCUGAUACACAACUUCCUGGUUGCUAAAACUGCUUACAAACUCAGCUUACCACAUCCAACAGCAUAGGCUGCACUGACCAUCUGUCUUCUGCAGAUGCAUCACCAGCCAAUGGAUUAUCAGCAGCUCUGCCCUAGGACACACACCCCUCUUUCACACACAUACUAACCCCCCUCUGAUUUCGAGAGUCUGGUAAUACAACAGAAUGAGUGGUAUCAUUAGAUUAGAUUGGGUGUGGAAGUUAUGGAAGGAUCUCCUCAUUAAUCACACGCGCUAAUGGCAGUUUAAUAGCUGUUGUCUCAACUGCUUCUUUCCGUUGUACAUCACUGUGCAGCUCCUCUGUUACAAUAAAAGUGUUUUAAUCUCAA